rnacentral:lncRNA from 1 species
UCAAGUGACCAUUGUUGUGUGGGUUUAUUUCUGGGUCUUCAAUUCUAUUCCAUUAAUCUACCUGCCUGUCUCUGUACCAAUACCACGCAGUUUUAAUCACUAUUGCUCUGUAGUACAGCUUGAGGUCCAGGAUGCUGAUUCAUCCAGAAAUAUCUGUAUGAUAAGAACUUCAUGUCUCUGAAGAAAGAAAUCGAGGAAGACUUCAGAGAAAGAUCUCUCCUAUGCUCGUGGAUUGGCAGGAUUAAUAUAGUAAAAAUGGCCAUCUUGCCAAAAGCAAUCUACAGAUUCAAUGCAAUCCCCAUCAAAAUUCCAACUCAAUUCUUCAUAGAGUUAGAAAGAGCAAUUCUUAAAUUCAUCUGGAUUAACAAAAUACCCAGGAUAGUGAAAACUAUUCUCAACAAUAAAAGAACCUCUGGGGGAAUCACCAUUCCUGUUCCCUCUUGAGCUCUGCUUAUUACUGUCUGUAGACUAUAGCAUGAUUACCCUUAUUUAACAGCUAUCCAUAUAUGAGGAAAUAUUAGCCAUGUUAGCCAUUCUGGAUCUGGGUUACUUCACUCAGAAUGAUCUUUUCUAUUUCCAACAAAUAGCCUGCAAUUUUUAUUAGCAUCUAAGUAAUACUCCAGUGUGUUAAAUGUAUCAGAUUUUCUUUAUCCAUUAUUCAGUUGAGGGACAUUCAGUUUGUUUCCACUUUCUGGAUGUUAUGAAUUUCAUUGAUCAAGUGUGAUAACGUACUGAACAGAACACUAAUAGGAAAGACAUUAAGAACAUAAUCAAUAAAUGGAACCCUAUUAAACUGAAACACUUGUAUAAGACAAAGGAUACUGCCAAUAAAACACAAUGAGAAAAAAAAUUUCACCAACUCCACAUUCAAUAGAGGACUAAUAUUCAAAAUAAAUAAAAAGAGAAUCCAGAAACUAGACAUCAACAAACCAAAUAAUCCAAUUUUAAGUGUGGUAAAAGCUAAACAAAGAACUUUCAACAGAGGAAUCUCAAAUAGCUGAGAAACACUUAUAAAAAAAUUCUCAGUAUCCUUAGCUGUCAGAAAAAUGUAUAUCAAAACUACUUUGAGAUUCCAUCUUACACCUGUCAUAAUAACUAUGUUCCAUUUCACAAGAGACAUCUCAUGCUGGCUAGGAUGUGGAACAAGGAGAACACUCCUCCAUUGCUGUUGGGAAUGCAAACUUGUACAGCCACUAUGGAAAUCAAUAUGGUAGUUCAUCAGAGAAUUGGGAAUCAAUCACUUCAAGACUCAACUACCACUCUUAGGCAUAUAGCCAAAGGACACUCCAUCCUGCCACAAGAAUACUUGCUCAAUCUGUAUGGUUUCUAUACCAAAGAUCCAGCAAAUGUUUGUUGAGUUGAAUCUUAUUCUUUUUAAAAUCUGUUAGUUUUGAGAUUAAAACAAUUCGUGUUAGCUCCUUUCUAUUCCAUGCAUUCAUGCAUCUAAUUGGUGUAUCUAAUUUUAGUUCAUUGAUAAUUAAAUAUAAUAGUAAAGUUAAUAAGUGUGCUUAAUUUCACACACCCCUAUUGUAUUCAACUUCAGAAGACGUUAAGAAUUCUAGACAACAUCCUAAGGGAAAUUGGACUGUAAAGGUAUAAAAUAAUAGCAAACAUAAUUAUAAAGAUUCUUUACAAGGAGACUUUUAAUGGGGUUGAGUUAUUUUGUUUGUUUGUUUUUAAUUUGCUAAGUUUUGUGAUUUCAGAGCAAAUGAUGUAAAUGAAUUUUCACAUUUAUCUACUAUUUUAGGUCACUUCUAUGUGAACUGGUUGAACUGCCCAUUUUCUUUUAUCAGCAUUAAAUUAUGAUACAAUCAUUAUCAGCUGUAAUCCCCCUUGUAAUAAAUAAUUUCAAUUUAGGCUUGGUGAAGAUGAAUGGAUUAAUAUUAAUUAAUUAAUAUUAAUAUAAUAUUAACAAUUAUAUAAGGCAUGCAAACUAGAAUGUGAAAUUUGCAAUGACAUCACUAAAUGUCACUUAAAUGAAUCAAUGACAACUUUAAAAUGUCACUCUUUAACCGAUAUAUAAAUAUAAAAACUGAGAAACUAGACAUUAAUAUAUAGAAAAUAAUCCUUAUGGUGGAAUAAAAUAUUUCAUGAGCAUUGUUCGUAAUUUCUCUGAAUAUGUUCAGAAAUUAAAGAGAAGGUAAUCACCUGAACUUUAAAAAUAAAGUAGAGAUUAUGUGUCUUAGGGGAGGUCAUAAAUUUGUAGGCAUUAAGUAGCAAGCGUGCUUAACUCUCCUUUCCAUCCCUUAGCACCACUGCCAAAGAGCUAACACCACAAAUUCAUGAGAUAGUCUGUAAUAACAAAAUGCCAAGCCAAAUGGGCUCUCUUCCCAGAAAUUCACUGAAGC